UACGAACUGUGCAAACGUUAUUCGGAAUCACUGGGCUUACAGGGUGCGUAGGCGGCUUGUUAAGUAGGGUGUGAAAGCCCCCGGCUCAACCGGGGAAUUGCGCCCUAAACUGGCGAGCUGGAGUGAGAUAGGGGUGUGUGGAACUUCCGGUGGAGCGGUGAAAUGCGUAGAUAUCGGAAGGAACAUCAGUGGCGAAAGCGGCUUCCUGGACCAGUACCGACGUUCAGGCACGAAAGCGUGGGGAGCAAACAGG
rnacentral:rRNA from 1 species